CCGUUCCCGUAAGGCCGCGGCUGUCGUGUGUGCGCCUGUGAGAGCAUACACGUAACGGCUCGACAACACGAGCAGGGCAAGCCGUUUUCGUUCUGGGGAAAGGGACAGCUCUUCUAUGCUCGUCUGCGUGCGUGAGUUCGACAAGUCCGAGUUGUCCGCGCGGCAUGGCAAGUCGCUCACCACUCAGCACUUCGAGCGUUACUACACUCUAUACCGGACUGAGACCAGCCUCACCAUCGUGGAUGUCGUGGACAGCCGCGCGCGUAAAACGGUCAACUACGAUGUGUUCACUAGCUCCUCGACGCAGUUGUACGACCAGGUCGUCGAGCCUCUCCUCGCGACAGUGCUGACGCCCGACCGUGCGUCACAGGCAGUUGUGGUGGUUGAUGGCCAGUCCGGCAACCGCCGCUACACGCUACUAGAUCCGGUAGAGGGCAUUCUGGCCCGCACCGCACGCGCCGCUGUUGCUCAUCCGGGCGUCACCUCUGUCUCUGUGAGCGCAGUCACGCUGGAGGACAACAACACCCUCACCGACAUCAUGCCAGACCGGAACGCUGAUGCUGCACAUGAGCAGCCAACCAUACUCGAGGACACGUGUGAGCAGUUCACAUCGGUCGAGGACGCGCACUACGUUGUGCUGGACUCGGAGGCCACCUGGGACGGCGUGCUGCACCGCAUGACCGCCGCCUUCGCCGAGCUCAAGCACCAAGUCAUCAGUUUCAUUUUUGCGUUUCAUGAGUCGACCGGCUUGCCGAACACGACCAUGCAGUUCGUGUCCUUCACGGUAAACGAGGUCGCGCGUGGCAUGAAGUCGUCGCGCCACGCCGUCUCCUCGGCGGCGGCCUUGGUGGAGUGUCGCUCACCUACGCUCACCUUCACGGCAACCAAGUUGCUCUACCUUUUGAAGCCGACGCUCCUAGGCCAGCAACCGGGUGCGUGGGUGGCAUCUUUUUCACCUGUCAGCCUGCUGGAGGCGGCAGAGCACGAGACGUUCCAGGAGGCUUUCGCAGUGGCGCAGACGGCUGCGCGUCUGUACAGUUCCCGCAUCGCUGUUUUGAACGAAUCUCUUCUACCUGCGAGUGGCGGCCCUGCCGCACCUACGGCGGGUGUGGGCCUGGACAUUGAGCGCGUCGGCGAAUGUGCGCCGCUGCCAGCUGUGGAGGAUGGUGGGGCCGACAUGACUGGCGCGGCGUUGAGGUCAAGGCCCGGGGAAAAGUCACAGCCUUCUUUCAGGACCGGGUCUCGCGACACCUCGGCUAAUCCUCAGCACGGUGAUCCCGGUCACAGCGCCGCCUUUCAGCAUGACCUCGUUGACACGCCCGCCGCUGCGCAGGAUCGGAUGACUGAGAGUGCCUCCGGCCUCGCUGCUGCAUCUCCGGCGGCGCCUUCUUCAGAUGAUUCGCGAGGCACAGGGGCUAACUGUGCAGCGCAGGCGGAGCCGGACGUGGACGCGGCACCGGUGCCUGUCGAGUCAAUCCAACGUGGUGCUUCGGAAGAGAGGUCGGCCGCGCGGUACGAGCUUGACACGUAUCGGGUGGUGAUGGAACGGGCUGUGGACAAGCUACGUGCCGAGGUGCGCGAGUACGCGGGGGCGUUGCGCGACACAAGGGAGGACGUAAGACGGCAAAAGCAAAAGAGCCGGGAGCUGCUGUCGGAGCUGGAGGCGAUGCGGUCAUCCUAUGAUGCUGCUGUCAGCGAGAACGAUAGACUGCGCGAGGCGCUGCGUGCCGGGCAUGGCGCCUCUGACAGCACGCUACUUGCGGCGCUACAGAGCGGUGCUUCCGACUCAGCAGCACAAAGGUCGCGCCAGGGGCCGAAAGAUAAACAUUCGACGGCGAAUCAACAAGGAAACGACCACGUAGCGCGCUUUUUACGAAGGGAUUUGGCAGUCCUCGAAGCACGCGUGGAGGAGCUGACGGAGCUCGUGGCGUUCCACCAACGCGAAAUUCAGGCCCACGUGGCGAGCGAGCACAGGUACCGGCAGCGGAUUCUCGAUCUUGAGGCGGAGUUACGCGAAAAGGAGCGAGAGGCCAUUGCUGACAAGGCGGCUGUGAAGGAGGCACAGCGUGCGGCAGACGUCGCACGAGCGGCGGCCAAGGCACCGCCGGCGCUGUCCCGCGCCGCUCACACGAGCAGCGCGAUCGAACAGGAAGACCUGCGUUUUGUGGAGGAGCGCGCCACGGAGGUAGAGUAUCGCCUGCGUGAAGCACUGGAUGCGUUGCAGAGCGAGCGCACUCAGCGGCUGCGACUCGAGCACCUCAUGAAGCGUCGAGAAGAAGAGGAGGUGUCGCAUGCGGCACCGUCAGACGACAAUGAACUUCUGCGGAGCCUGCAGCGCACAUACGAGAUGCAGCUGCGCGAGCUGAAGUCGGAGAUGUCCGGCUUCCGAGCAGAGCUUGUGCGGCACCUGACAAAGCCGUCCGUGCCGCAGAACCUCGGUGAUGCCUCCAGCUACGUCGCCACACCAGUAGACCGUCAAGGCCGUGAUGACCCUGCUGUUGUCAAGCUGCAGAGAUCGUCGCCACCGCGCAUGUCUCCCAUCCCGGACGCCUCAUCGACGCACUUCUCGCAUGCUGGCGACGGCGUCUCUGCGCACAGUGACAGAGGCGGUGACGCGGCUCCUUCGCCACUGCAGCAGCGCCGCCAGCGGAGCGCGCAGUCCUUUGAACAGUUUAUGCAGGAAGAGCCGCGGUAUAAACUGCACUGCGCCCCCUUGCUGCGUCGGCGUCCACGUACCCCUGCUGCUUAGACCAAGUCGUCUGUGUGCCCAUCUCGUCCUCUCUGUCUUGUGCAGCCCUUGCCUCGUCAUUUCCUUUAGAUGGCGGUGAUGCACUUGCUCACUCGGCAUAUCUUCGAGUGGCUCGUGUACCGCUCUGCGUUGGUGCGUUGUCGACCCUCUACCACCGCGUUUGUACCAAGACC
rnacentral:misc_RNA from 1 species